ACCUCCCGAUCCCUUCCACCUCCUCUCCUCUAUGCGGCGCCGAACUGAUCGCCUUCCUCAACCGACGGCGCCGCACCUCGUCGUUUCCUCUUCUCCCCCCGUUUACAAAACCCUCAGCCAAGGAGUCUAGUUCCUUCUUCUCGCCACUGUCCGAACCCCUCCUCUCCCUCACGCAUCGCCUUUGCUCUUCCCCGUGCCCUAGCUAUCUCCACUGGCUACUGCUGCCGAUCGCUUCGACCAAUCACCAGGAUGUCAUCACUACUACGAGUGAGGCUAGAACAGCACCGUCAACACAAUCCACCCGACGCUGCUCCUACCCCAAAUCCCGAUUCUUUGCUCUGCCUUGUCGCCGAUCUUGACACGACGCCCUUCCCUACCGAUCAGCUCUUGUGCACGACAUCAACCACUAUACGACAGUCGCGACGAUCGCCUCUUCCAUUUGUUUAGACAGCAAACUGUCUCCUCUUUCUCUCACGCCACUGCGAUCCACCACCAGCAUGCCUAGGGAAAGGGGGUAUCUACUCCGAUCACCGUCGGAAAUUUGAGACGCUGCCAGUAAACUGAUCUGCCAGACACAUCCUCUUUUCCUCAUGCGAGCACCACACGCACAUCACCGCUGGUUGCUUGCUGCCAUUGCCGAUCUAGGGUUUACGACGACCAAAUUUGAGAGCUGGGCAGGUGGUUUCCAGCAGCUACUCAAUUUCGACGACUGCCCUACCUGGCUGAGGAUCAACAGGAGUGGCUUCGAGUUGAGGACUUGGUGGAACACAUGAGAACUUGGUGCGGCCAAGUAUGGAAAACUCAUCCAAGGGCUCGGAUCCUUGAGUCUCUGAAGGAUGGUGUGGAAGACAUCUAUGGGACCGCUGGACAAGGAGCAAUGGAGUGGAGCCGAAGGAAGUGGACUUUAAGGCAGCGUGAAGGAUGACACGGAGAGGAGU